rnacentral:piRNA from 1 species
UUUACAGAAGCCACAAUGUGGCUGCCGGUUC